rnacentral:rRNA from 1 species
GUCCUUGUGGUGGUAUGCAAGGUCUGGCCUGCCCACUGAAUUGUUUAAAGGGCCGCGGUACUUUAACCGUGCGAAGGUAGCAUAGUCAAUAGUCUUUUAAUUGGAGGCUUGUAUGAACGGUCGGACAUGGGGAAAGCUGUCUUUUCCAGUAGGGAUGAAUUUAACUUUUGUGUGAAAAGGCAUGAAUGGUUUAGGGGGACGAUAAGACCCUAUAAAACUUGACAGCUGGUUAGGGACUUCUUAAUUUAUUAUUGAACGAGGGGUCGGUUGGGGCUGUUGUGCUGGGGCGGCUGGAAUAUAAUUCGUAACUGUUCUUUAUACAAAAUAAUUAUAAUUAGAUUUUGACCCCGUACUUCGGGUUAUAAGAUUAAGUUACUUUAGGGAUAACAGCGUUAUUUCUCUUGAGAGUUCAUAUCGACAGGGAUAUUUGCGACCUCGAUGUUGAAUUAAAGCUUUAUCUAGGAGCAGAAGAUUAGAUGAUAGGUCUGUUCGACCUUUAAAGCUUUACAUGAUUUGAGUUCAAACCGGUGUGAG